GAAAACCAAAAAUAUCAAUAAAAAUUAUUUUUUGAGAAAAAGAAUGGAAACAAUGGAGUGUGGGCUGCGGUAAAAAAAAAAAAAAAAGGCUGGUAAAACUCUGCACUGCAGCAAAGAGUCUCUAAGCAGAAAAACAAGAACAAGAUGAUGUCACCUCCAAAAAGCCGCAAUACGGGAGGCGGAGUCUGGGUAUCCGUGGGCUGAUGGCUGCAGUGAGACUCAAGACAAGCCGCUUUUCCUGCGCCGCAGUGCCCUCUGGGAACCUGCAGAGGGCGCAGCCUAUCGCCAAUGCGCAGGCGCAGUUCCUCCAAGCUCCGCCCUCUGCAGAGCUUCUAAUAGCGAGCUUCCGCCAGUCUUUCUCCCUUUUUCGCCCGUCCAGCCAUCGUGGUGGAAGCUCGGCUGUCAUCUCAUCGUCAUGUCCUCUCAUAAAACAUUCAGAAUCAAGAGGUUCCUGGCCAAGAAACAGAAGCAGAAUCGUCCCAUCCCUCAAUGGAUUCGAAUGAAAACUGGAAAUAAGAUCAGGUACAACUCAAAAAGGAGACACUGGAGAAGAACCAAGCUCGGGUUAUAAAGAAUGGCCAGAGAAAUGAAAGACAUUCUACACCAAGACCACCUCCCCCCCUUACCAUGGCAUCCAUCAAUCCAUCCAUUCAUCCAUCCAUCCAUCAAUCAAUCACUCAGUCGCCUCAUUGCUCCCAAUAAGAAGUAAAUUACCACUACUGCCCUCCUAUUUCAGAAGCUGUCUGCCAAGAUGCAGACAUCAAAAAAAAAAAAAAAAACCAAGAAACUGUUAAAUUUGUCUUGCCCCUAAAUGUUUUCAUAAUUGCAUCCAUGUGUUCUGAUACAGUGUAUUGUGAUAUAGUUUAAAUUACUGUUAUCUGCAUCUCUGUGUAGCAUUUGUAUGUUUGAGGUUAUGCUUAAGAGGCAGAGAUCAUAAUGAAACAAAGUUACUCCUGUCAAGAAGAAGAACUAAGCUCAAGCCCUGCCUUGAACAAGCCUUCACAAUAACCUCUCUGUGUUUUGUUUUGUGUUCUAAGGAGUUAUAAGAGAGCACCUACCUCACAGGGUUGUUGUGGGGAUCUAAGAUUUGCAAGCCUUCAGUGUAAGCCUCCAGUGCUGCUAAUCAGGAGCUGUCUCAGCCAGAUUAUGCGCAGCUGACUGUGCUCAUUUAUCAAACUCACAGUCAGAGAAGUAACCUGUUGACCCCCUGCUUAUUUCAUACAAUAAGCCGUCUUGGUUCCUUGUUGGGAGGUGGUAAUUAAGUGUUGGCAACUUCCAAGUUGUCGGUUAUUUGUGUGUUUGGGAAAGCCCAACCUUUGUUAGGAACUAGACCUGGUCCAGGUGAAUGGCUUCACAAUUUUCUGAAGAUGCAAUUCUGCUAAUAAAGGGCUUCUACAAAAAAAAAAAAAAAGAUUU
rnacentral:lncRNA from 1 species